GCGGGGGUUGCCAAGCUUGGUCAAAGGCGCAGGAUUGAGGGUCCUGUCUCGUAGGAGUUCGCGGGUUCGAAUCCCGUCCCCCGCACCA
rnacentral:tRNA from 1 species